GUAUAAAAAUCGAAGCGCGCGCUGGAAACCGUUGCCAACGUCUGGCGGUGAGUGUCCCGCGCGCGCCGCCAACAUCUGUUCGGUGGUCCCACGAAUCCAUUAUGGCGUGUAUCGGCUGCCGCCGCCGCUAUCCGUGAUAGCAGCGAACCUGGUGUGCGCGUGUCGUGUUUGAUCCUCGGGUUUUUUUUUCCGAUUUUUUUUUUUUACACUUCUCUCUUCUUCGCGUUGUCGUUUUUCCACCGCCGUACGGGUUCGGAAUUGGUUUUGAGGCGUGUGUGUGCGAGUUUGUGCGUAAUUGCGCGUGCGUGUAGCAUGCGUGUUUCAGUGUCGGUUCGCCGUGCGAGUGUGUGUCCGAUUUUGCUCCGUGUGCGUGCGUACGAGUUGUGGUGGUGAUGCCCAAACGGACGAAAAUAAUAAUAAUAUCGUCGUGUAGAUCUACUGCUGCUGCCGCUGCCGCUGCCGCCGCCGUCGACGCUUCAGUGUAAUAGUCGAAAAAAUAAAAAAAAAAAAAGAAAGAAACGCGUUCGUCUCGCUGCCGCCGCCCGCUAUUCCGCCGCCGUCGUCGUCCGCGCGCACACACACACACCGGGCGUUUUCGAAACGGGUCCGGGACACACAAUAAUAAUAUUUAAUGAAAUAUUUCAAACCGAACCGCCGCGCACACACGUCGUGAUAAUAAUAUUAUUGCUAAAUUCGUACGUAACUACACAAUGUCAUUUUAACGAUCCGUUUCUCAUGGAUAGAAUGAUAGUGACGAUAAUGCAUUUAAUUCGCAUCACAAUAAUAUUCGCGACGUUAUAAUUACAAUUUUAUUUAUACCUAUACACUUUUAUAAAUAUAUAUUCCUUUUCUUUUUUUCCAACUCGACAAUACAACAUUUCAAACCGUUCCGCCAGAGUUUUGCGUGUUUAUAAUAUCAUUUUUUACUCUACGGCCGUCAUCGUCUACAUCACAAACGCGCCAUGGGUCACACACGAUAGUUCCGAGUUCGGUACAUCCGGUGGAAAAAGCCAGUUUAUCGUCGUGUCGCGUCGUGUCGUGUCCGCAGUCCGUCUCCCCUUUGGGUCGUCGCGCUCUCCGUACGCUCGCACGUGAGAUAACAACAGACGUGCAACAACACCAGAGCCUCGUAGUGAACAGGUACAACUCGUCAUGUCUGUGAGUCAACAGUUUUGCCUGCGAUGGAACAACCACCAGAGGACCCUGAUUUCGGUGUUCGACAGUCUGCUGGAAAGUGGCACCCUAGUCGAUUGCACGCUGGCCGCCGAGGGACGGUAUCUAAAAGCGCACAAAGUCGUUUUGUCGGCCUGCAGCCCAUACCUGGGGGUAAGUACGAGAGUACGGUUGGAUAUUAUAAGUCGUAGUACGGAAUCGGAUUUUUUUCGUAAGGAGAUACCCGUUAGUAUCGAGUAUCUUACAAGUAUAUUGGUAUGUGUUUGCGCACGCGUCUAUGUGUGUGUGUUUCGUUUAGGUACUCGUAAUUAUUUCCCUUUGGAAUUCCCGUUGCCAAAGAUAAAAAACAAACAUUAGGUACUUUCCACGUUUUUAUGUGCAGGUAAAUUACCUAGAACUACCGUAAAUAAAAAUAAAUUGUCCGCUCUCCCCCCGGCAUAAUGUUAAUAAAUCUCAGCGAGCAGGAUCUUGACGAAAGUUAGGUAUUCAUUAUUAUGAUUAUUUAUUUUUUUUUUUUAGGGCAUUUCCGUUUUGUUUUGGCCUACUUACGCGCGUGUGUGCGCCGUACGGUGUCUGCACAUGAUUUUCACCAGGCGGUAUGAAAACCAGUUCCACACCCCUUCACUUUUUUUCCUUCCUUUUCCUGUCCCGUUAUUCGCACACAGUGCAAUGACAAAGGAAAUUUCUCUUUUUAUUUUUUUCUUUUUUUUUUUCGUGAAUCGAAUUCCCUUCUACAGUAAUUGGCAAAUAUUUUAUGCCCAACGGAUAAUAAUAAUAGGUAUCUACUAAAGAAUUGACAUACACACGCGCGCCCGCAAAUACACACCUAUUUAUUUACAAAUCAAAUUAAUUAUAAUAUACUUAGACAUGUGUGUGUAUACAGGUAUUUGUCGAGGUAUUUUUGAUAGUAACAUUUUUUUUUAUUUAUUAAUAUUCUAUUUACACCUAGGUAUGCUAUUGAUUGAAUAUAAAUAAUACAAAACACGAUACCUAGGUACUUUGUUUUUGUUGAUAUUAAACAUGUGUUGAUUACAAAUUCCUAAAACAAAUAUUAGAAUUUGUAGAAAAAAAUUUAAAAAACUACUUCUUCACUAUCAUACUGAAUAACAUUAUUUUAUCUAUUUGGAUAUUACCUAAAUAUGAACAUAUAAUAUAGAUAAUCUAGAUAAUAAUAUUUACACAUUUUGUAUGCCUAAAUAUUAUUACAGGGGAACUUGACAUUCACCGAUAGAAAUAUAAACAAUGUAAGGUGAUUCAAACUUUAAACUAAGUACCUACCUAAUUGUUUCAAUACUGAAUAUCAACAUUUUUUUUUUAGCUUUGAAAAAUUGGUGGAUACUGUACCUACCUUUAAUUACUAAUACUAUUUAUCUGCCUACUUCUAAUGAUUGAGGUAUAUCAGUUAGUUCUUCUAAAACAACUUUGUACAUACUACCUAUUCUACGCUAUUAUAGUUAUACUUAAAUAUUGUAUUAUAUUUAAUACAUCAAAAUAACAUUUUAACCAUUAGGUAUUAAUACAAGUUGUAAUCUAAUAAGAUUAUGACCUAUAAUAAUACAAAUUCAACAUUUUUUUCUGACCAAAUACACCUAGGUACCUAGGUAUUUCAGUAUUUGUGUUUCGUUAGUGUAAUAAAUACUUAGCGAAAGUUAAAAAUAAAUGAAAAAUAUUCAAGUAUGGAUUCUGACAGAGGGUAAAUCACCAACAGAAAUGUGUACAAAAUGUACAAAUGUUUGGCCAUCAUACAGAAAAUCCCAUAAAUAAAUCUCUGCAAUCGUUGGGAAAGUCUUGGUAUUCUGGAAUCCGAUGUACAUUGUAUCGAUUAGUGAUUUACCUUUUAGAUUCUGAUAUACAUAGGUUUGUAAUUGAAUACAUACAAAUACCAAAAUUUCAAAAGAAUAUUACUACCAUUAAAUAUUGCUACCGAAUUAUUCUAAUUAUUCCAAAAAAAUAGACAAAGCAUAUUUAUCCAUAAAUUUAGUUUAAGUUUAAUAACGUUUUUUUAAACUAUGUGUCAUGUAUACAAAGUUUUUAUCAAAAUAAAUCUUAUUUAAUCAUUUUAACAUGUAUAAACUCAGCAUUUAAAUGUGUAGGUUACUUGUGUAGUUAUUUUUCCAUUAAAUGUUAUAUUUCUAUUCUUUGUCAGUUUAGUUUUACUUAUAUAGGUACUUACAUUUAUUUAUAAACCCACCUAAUCCUUCUCUAUUUCUAACUAUUACUAUAAGAUACCCUGUGUAAUUAUUAGCAUAAUAUUAUUAGUGUAGGUAGAUUAGAUAUCUAGUUACUAUUAAUAGUUAGAUAUUAUGAUAAUGUUAAAAUCAUUUGCAAUCUACAUCAGGUACCUACCUGAGUACAACCGGAUCUAAAAAUCACUAACAAAGCACCAUAUAAUUAUAAUAUACCUAUUAUGAUUUUUUUUUUUUAAAUUUUAAGUGGGUACUUAAAUAAAUUAUAAUAGAAAUCUACCUAUCUUUGUAUUACCUAUUAACAGCAUACAAUUUCCCUAGCUUUAGUUAAAUUGAACCAACUUAUAAAAAAAAAUUGUAUAUAAGUGCUUCAAAUAAAGUAGGUACUCAUAGGUUCUCUUUUACCUAUUUAUUUUUAAAGGAAUACCAAUAUUUGUAUUAAUCAUAUUAGGUAGGUAGGUAUCUACUGUUUUCUUAUUUACUCCAGUUAAAAUGUAAAAUAAGUUGUAAUAAGAACUUCUUAUAUUUCUAUUAAAAAUUGAAUUUCAACACUUCAUAUUCAUGUUUUUAUUUUUUUAUUUCUAUUUAAUUUUGAAAUAUUUAUCAAUUAUUGUAUGUAUAUACAUACAUUUAUAUACAUAUUUAUGCAUAUCUAUAUGAUAUGAUAAGUCCCAUCCUCGAUCAUUUCUAAUAUUGCUCAUCAAUUGUAUACCUACCUACAAGCCUAUUAUUAUUUUAUUACCUUGGUAUAUAGUAGUGUCUUGGUUAUGCUUUAAAUAUGUAGGUACUCUCUUGUUACCUAUACUAUACUAUAUUCACUGACAUAUUAUACGUAAAAUUAAGAUAAUUAAGUACACAUUUUAUAAUCAAGGUUAUAAUAUAAGUAGGUAUAUAGGUUAUUUAUAUUUGUUUUUAUUUAAAUUAAAUAAAUAUAAUUAUGAGUUUGUUGGUGUCUAAAAGUUUUGCAGUUUAGUAGGAUUCAUUCUUAUUUCUCUAGGUAUGAAAAUAUUAACCUAAGUAAAUUGUUCUAUGAAUAGAAAAUGAAAAAGAAACCAUUUGAAUUAAUAAAAAAAAUAAAUAAAUUGAUCUUUCUUUUUUAAUAAGUGUACUUCCUAUAGGUAAAUUUCCUUUCUCCUUUUUUCCAUCUAGCUUACUAAAAUAUUUUUAUCAGAGCCCUACCCUUCUAGACAUACCUUUCUGAUUUCACUUUCUUGAAAGCCCUCUACUAUUCUGCUUUCAUAUUCUUGGCAUUACAUUCUCUUUGAAUAUUUUUAAUAAACAUCUAGUAGUUUUUCAUACUACCUAUGUAUCCUCUCUCAUUUAAAUGAGUGGUUAUUUGCGUACAGUUUUACAUUUUAUUAAUGUAAUUUAUUAUAUUAAAUUAUGAUUAUAGUUAUAGCUUUCAAGGCAUUGCCAAUUAAUUUUACAAAUAUAUUAAAUUAAAACAUUUAUUACAAUAUACCUACAUUUGUAUUCUUAUGUACCUAUAAAUAUACCCAAAGUAAAUACUUACCUGAAUCAAAUUCCAGAAUUGAGUUUGACUGUUUCAUUUAAAAAAUAGUAUUCUGCAAGAAAUAUACUUAUACAUAUUUUUAUUUUUAGUUAAUAAUUAACUACACAAUAUGAUACAGCUUGGUCUAGUUGCAGCUUUGCACCUAUCUGCCUAAUUUGAAAAAUAUUACAAAUCUUAUGUUAUGUUCAAAUUUGACCUAAUUUUAAGAAUUAGUUACCUGCAUAACUCAUUUCUAAAAAAUGUGCAAAGUGAAAGUUAUUCUAAAAUAAUUAAUGAUUAAAUCCUUAGGUAGUACAAGAUUUAUAACACAAUUGGUAUGGUUAAAUGUGUAAUGACUAAUAGGAAUAACCAAAUGCAUCCUACAUUUGCCUGUUUAUUCAAUGUUUUAUGCAUCCUCGGUUCAACACAUAAACAUGGACAAUUAGAUUCACAGUUUAAACAUAUCUGGAUAUAUUACAUAAACAAAUAAUAACUUAUUAGCAUACUGAUUGAAAUUAUUUUUCUUGACAUUUUCGCACAAAAAGGCAUAUUUUUUUUAAAUGGCUAAACCAAUAAUCACAAAACAAAUGUAUUUUGAAAACUUAAAGUCUCUACUUUACAAUGACACCUUUAUCAUACAAAUUUGUAUUUAUUUUUAUUCUUUAUUUUCAAUUAUUUGUUUAAAAAUUUGAAAUUUAGAACUAAAAUGUAGGUAGAUAGUACUCCUAUAUACCUAUACCUAUUAAAAUAAUUUUUGUUUAUUAUAGGUAAAUACUUUCAAUGGAUAUGUUCUUUAUAUAUUUAGAAAUUAAUACAAUUCUCAAUAUACCUAUAGUAAAUUAAAAUUAUAUUUUCUACUGUAAAAAUAUAUAUUAUUUACCUACUGGGUAAACAUCAGUUCACAAUUUGCAUAAUUUAUCCCUGGCCGUUUUAUGAGUAAUUUUUAAUUUGGUUGAAUUAAUAUAUAGUUUAUCAAGUGUGUUUUGCUCAGUGGCUGAGGCCUCAACUGUCUCAGUUAGCUAGUUUUUGGUAACUAUUUGUUUUCUUAUUAGAUAUGACUAGUCGCUACUGUUCUGAGCAAAAACCACUUAUGUGUAAUAACUUUUAAUGAAACUAGGGUUUUCAUGCUACAAUCAUUUUAUAAUAAAUUUUUAGAUAAAAAUCACAGACUUUAUGUUCUGCUCUCGGUGCAGUUUAAUAGCCAGCCAUUAUCACUUGUAGAAAAUUACUUUAAGGAAAUACCAUUUGAUCAGUAGUUCAACAAUUGGCCAUAGUGGCUAGCCGUGCAUAGGAAAUCAUACCUUUAUUGGCUAGUUGAUGAUUAAGCACUUCAUUACAUAAAUAAACCGAGGAGAAUAUUUAUGUCAUGCUAUAUUUACUAAGUUUAUACUGAUACAUUAUAUUAUAGAUAUUUCUAUAUUGAUAAAUAUACCUAACAAUCAAAUAUCAUAUAUAAAAUAUUGGAUAUAUUUUAUAGCUACAGUUUUAUUAUAUUUUUGAUUUACAUAGAUUUAUAUAUAUAUAUAUAUAUCUUUUACUAUAUUAGGUAAUUAAGAUGGGCUGCAUAUCUAUUAUAUAAUAUUAUAAUAGUUAAACUGGUAGUAUCACUACCCACAGUGAAACUUGUAGUUAAGGGUACCAUUUAAAAUUAUCAAUAUUAUAAAAAAAAUAUAUAUUUAUAAUAUUGUUUAAAUUAUUUUCUCAAUAUAAGUCUUAAUAAAAACCGGUAAAAAUAAAUCUAUAGGUAAAUGCAUAUCUAAAUAAAGUCACAUCUUUGUUUUAGCUUUGAAAUAUUCAAUAAUAUUUGAUAAUAUAUAAUAUUUAUAUAGGUUUAAAUCUUAAACUUGAAUUUCUAACAAUACUUUUAAAAACAAGACUAUACAUAUAUGUAUAAAAUAAUAUCACGUAUCUACUUAAUAUACAAGUGCUUCAAUUAAUACUAAGAUUAAUACUUAUAAAUCUAACAUGAAAUUGUGACAAUUUUAAAAAAUUAUAUUUUUUUUUAUUCAAUAUACAUAAUAUAUUUUAACUGGUAUGAAACAUGUAUCAAAUAUAUUUUUAACAUAAUUUUAAUUUUUUUUAAAGGUUUUAUUGAGCCAACAUCAAGAAAAACACCCAAUUUUAAUUUUAAAAGAUAUCAAAUUUCAAGAACUGAAGUCAAUGUUAGAUUACAUGUAUCGAGGUGAAGUAAAUAUUUCUCAAGAAGAACUUGGUACAUUUUUGAAAGCGGCUGAAUCUCUUCAAAUCAAAGGUUUAACAGAAAGUGCUGGUAUUGGAGUUCGUGAUACUUCAGAUUUUGAGGAUCCAGUAUCUAAACGUUUUGACAACAGAAAACAACCACCUUCUUUAUCAUCAGUCAGUUCUAACUCUCCUACUAUUUGGAACCAAAAUGACACUGUACGUACGUAUUCAAGACCAAGAGAUGGUAGUUUAUCUCCAACCAGUAAAAAACGGAAAUUACAACGAACAAAUGGACCUGAUGAUCAUCAUCAUGAUAAUGGUGAUGAUAGUAUGACUGAAUCUGAACCUCAAGGUGUAGAAAAAUCACCCACUAAUAAUAAUAAUAUUCCUUCUUCGGGCAAUAAGGUAGUUAUUAAAACUGAACAUUAUCGUAAAUCAUGUUCACCAGAAAAAGAAGUGCAUAAGGUAACUGAAAAUCAGGUGGGUAAACCAAAAGUAGAAUCAAUUUCUGGAGAUCGGCAAGAGUGUUUGACAGAAAUGUCCUAUGACGACAGUGUAGAAGAUAUGCCAUUAGAAGAAGAAGAAGAAGAAUAUGAAGAAAAUGAAUUGUCUCAGCCUGGAACUUCACAAGGAGAUACCAAUCACACCGGUAAAUAUUUAAAAAUAAAUUUGAUUUUAAGUUAAAUGUCAGUACAUAUAACUCGAGUAUAAUUUCUUUUUUCCAUUCUUAUAGCAAAGCCACAAACAAAUUCAUGGCAGUUAGAAACAACUAAUCAAGAUAGCACGAAUACUGUUAAUACACCAAUGGAUUGUAAAGGUAAGACUUCUAAAAUAUAUUUGUAAAAAAAAAAAAAAAAAAAAGAUACAUAAAUAAUUAAAUUUUCAACGGAUAAAGUGAACAAAUUAAUUUUAGUGUUAAAUGUGUAUCCAAUAUGCAUGAAAAAAAAAAGAACAAAUCAUUUUUAUUAUUAUAUGGAUGAGGUACCUACAUGUAAAUUUGUAUUAUUACCUAUUAUUUUUUUUUUUUUAAGUACCUACCCAUUAACAAAAACAAAUUUAAAAAAUAAUGUAUACCUAGGUAUGUUGAAUCACAUAAAAAAUAUAUAAUUAUUAAAGUUAAUUUUUUGAAAUAUCAUUUAUGAUUAGAUAUUUUUUUGUAUAAAUAAAAUAAAAUAAAAGGCUUAAAUACUAGGUAUCCUUUUGAGAAUGUUGUAAUACAUUUAAAUCAAAUUUGAAUUUUUACUAUUUGGAAAAAUUGGAAAAACUAGAUUCAAGUACAUUUACUUAAGAUCAAAUAAAUAUUGGUUUAUUUUAUACACCUAUUUAAAAUUAAUAAUUUAUGUAUAGGCAAAUUAUAUUUAUAUGUGUUAUUUUUUAUUCUACUUUCCAAGUUGGUUAACAAAAAUGAUUCUAUUAACACACUAUUGUAUUAUAAUAUGCAUGUUAUUAUGAGUUUGGUUUAUUUUAUAUGCAUGUAUCUGAGCUUGGUUUCAUGGUUUGCUUUUAUAGUUUUUUUUUAUAAAACUUGUAAAUAUUUGCUUAAAUUUUUGUAUUAUAUCUUAGAUCAUAGUAUUUUAGCGAACAAUGAAAUUACAGGUAAACAUAAGUAAGUUUUAUUUUAAUAAUUAUAUUAUAUCUUGUACUCUUCACCAAAUGAUAAAUUAAGGUUAUCUAGCGCGAUUGUAUAUAUAUAUACCAUAUUAAAAUCUGAAAUUUAUUUUAAUAAUGAUGUGAAGAUUUCCUCUGAGAAUGACCAGAUUACUAGCAUUUCUUAUCUUUAUUCACUGUUUAAAUAUAGACAAGAUUAUGAUUCAAAUUGUAAUACAAACAGAUCUACUAAGUGUGAUUAAAGUCCAAAUAAAUAUUAACUACUGUUGAUGGAUAAUGAGAAUUAAGAUCUACAAAUUUAUUUUAUUGUUACAUUUAAUUUUAGUCACGUUGCUUACAAAUUAUAAGAUACUAUAUAAGAAAAUGUAUUGAUUGUAUAUUAUGUUAUAGUAAAUUGUCAUGUCAAUUUACAUUUAAAAAAACAAGUGCUGUUUUAAUUUUUUUACUAAUUAUCAUUUAUUGGAGCAUUUUUCAUUUAGUAUAAGUUAUAUUUCAUAGAAUAUUUUUUUUCCUUGUAAAUUCUAUCUAGUUUUUAAAUACAACAAUAAAAAUAACAUUAUAGGAAUCAAUAAUUAAUAAUUCAAGAUAAUAAAUUGUUUAAUAGAAUUCUUUGUUUAGUUUUUUUUCAUUUUAAUGAGCAACUACUUUUUUUCUGACACCACUCGCCAUACAGGAUAUAAUAAAACAUUCCUUAUCUGUGGCCUUUCUUUGAUAUCUUAAUACAGGUUUAUCAUUGACCAUUUGACAGAGCACAAAGUUUGUUUCUUAUGAUCAGUAUUCAUGUUGGUAAAAUUGUUUAACUGCUAUUAGUCCUUAUAGUAUUAGAACCAAAAAAAAUUAUAGACAUCUGUACUAAAUUAGUAAUUCUAAUAAUUUAAAAGUUGUUAUUAAACAUAUGAAAUAUUUGAUAAAAUAAAUAAAAAAAAUGUUUCUUUAUUUUAUUAAUACCACUACAAUUUUUAUUUUCCAAAAACGUUAUACUCAUAAUAAUAAUUAGUGUUAUAAAAAUAUAAUUAAUAACCAUAUAUCAUUUGUAAAAAAAUUAAAGUCCUAAUAAUUGUGCUUUAACUACUUAUGAAAUCCUUUAGGUGAAAUGGUUUUUAUUUUUGUACAAAAUUUAAUUUUCCAUUUCUUCAAUGGACCUUCAAAACUUAAAACUUUAAAUUUGAAUAACUGCAAAUAUGUAUUUUACAGAAUUUUAAAAGUCCCCCCCUAUAAUUAAAAUUAAAAAUAUGAAUGUGUUUCAUACAAUUUUCCUAUGUUUUCUUACAGUUUUUUCAAUGCAGGUACAAUGUAACCAUUCUUUAAUUAAAUUUUCAUUAUCUUAUGCUUAAUACAGUAUUGUUAUUAUUCUGAAAUGUAUGAAAUCAAAAUAUUAUAUUGACAUAUAUUUUAUAAGGUAUUCUUCAAAACCUAUUCCUAAUUUAUUAAAUAUAAAGAUAAAGAAAACAAAAACAUAAAUAAUUCAAAAUUGUAAAAUAAAAUAUAAAAGUAUUUAAUUCAAUUAUAUAGAAUAAAUAUCUAUUAUUGAUAUUUAUUAGUGAUUAAUGGUAAAAUUAAUGUAUUUAAUUAUAUGAUAUUAAAUAAAACAAAUAAAUUGUAUCAUGAUGCAACAUUUAUCUAAUUGCCUAUUAGCCAUACCAAUUAAUAUUUUUCUCAAAAAUUCCUAACUUAAAAUGUAUGCAUUACCUACAUUUAGUAUUUACUUAUAUUUAGAUCUUUUAUAGAUGAAGUGUUGUUUUUUAUAUAUUCAAUUUAAUUUGUAUUUCUAAUAUGCUACAUAAGCAAUUAUCUUUUUAGAAACAAGUGUUUACUAAUUAAAACUAUAUAUCAUAGAAUUAAUAAAUCCCAGAAAAAAGUUGGUUUCAGAAAGCUCAAUACUUAGAUGUUGAAACCGCAUUUAAUUGACUGUCCACCUAAUAUAUUCUAAAUUGAAUGAUUGUUCUAUUAAGUAUCAUAAUUUUUUUUUUUUUUUUUUUUUCAUAAAUAAUUGACACUGAAUUAUAGUUAAUUAUAUACAUAAGCAUUUUAAAUUUAAUUUUUAAAUUAAAAACAGCAAAAUAUGUUAGUUUUGAUCAAUAAAAAAAGAAAUAACCAAAUUCAUAGUCUCCCAUUGUCAUUCAAAUACUGUACUAAUAAUAUAUAUUCCAUAAAUUAUUUAAUUCACAUAUUCAUUAUAAACAGAUAUUGUAUAAAAAACAUGCAUCUUGAAACGAAAAUAAAUAAAUAAAAUAGGUAACUCAUUAUAUUUUGAUUUGAUAUUAUUUAUAUUUAAAUUAUUAUACUCAUUUACAUAUUAUGCAGUAUCAUUUAAAUUUGAAUUAAAAGUAAUACUUUUUUAUUUUAAUUUGUAUAUGAGAGAUACAUAGUAAAAAUCUAAGUGUAUUUUCAGAUAUUUUAAUAACAGCCUCUGAUAUUUUAAUAUUUAUAACACAAUUUACACUCAGUGUUUUUUUUUUAUUGUUUUACAAAGUAAUUAUUUUAUCAUGAACCAGUAAUUUUCUUGGAGGGUUUUUAGUGAAGUUGAUUUCUGUUAGGUUUUUUUUUAAUUGUUUAAGCUUUUUUUAAAAAAAAACUUAUUUAAUAAUUAAUAAUAAGCAUAAUAAAUUGCAUAUCUAUUUUUAAAUGUUUAAAAUAUUAUUUAAUGAUCAAUUGAUGAUAAAUAACUCUUCUAGUCUAAAUUCAGUUCUAUAGCUCAUAAACAGUAAAUCUGAUAUUAGUGUUACGAAUAUCAACAUUUCUAGAAAAUUUGAAUCUUUGACUGAAAAGGAGGGAGAGUGCUAUUUAAAAAUACAAAGUGGAUACUUAUUUCAAUUGUAAAAAGUAAAAUUUAAAAUUUAAAAAUAAUGUUGAAGUAAACAAUUUUAUAAUAGUUAAAAAAAAAAAAAUUGAAAUCAAAUUGACUUAAAAUUCUCUGUGAAAAUUGGCUCAUAAUAAAACAAAUUAUUCUGUAUAUUGUAUAUUAUAAUAUUAAAUCUGGAUUUUUUUAUUUUAUACAAAUAUUUGUUACAAUAUGGGCUUUGUUUUUGUUUUUUUUUUUAUAUUUGUAUGAAUGAAGAGAUUGCCAUUGUUUACAAAAAAAUUAACUUAAAUGUAUUUAACUUAUUAAUCGUAUACUUUCAAAUGAUCAUUAUUCCAGUAAUCAUCAGCAUGUCAUGUUAAUUAUUGAAUAUUAAAAAAAAAAAACACAUGUCAUAUAAUAUAUAUAAGCAAAAGCAAUACAUAUUUGAAUGUAUAUUAUUUUGUUAUUAGACAGACUAAGAGUAAUAUUUUGUGUUAGUCAUGCUGGUACACAUUGAUUUUUAUUCUGUCUUAUUCAUUAAUUUUUGAAGAGAGAAAAACCCGCAAAUCCGGAAAUGGAAAUAUUGUACAUAUUUUAAAUUAUAUUCUUAACUAAUAAUGGGCAUGGAUGUACUAACUUGGUCCGGUUAGAUUACAAACAAUUUUUUAUUAUUAUUAUUGUUAUUAUUAUUCUGGAAACUGUAUGUGGUAUGUGUGUUGUGUGUGCUUUCCUUAGCAAUACGCUGUACGAGGUGCGGCCGUCUUUACAAAUUGAAGAGCUCAUUGUUGAACCAUCAGCGCUGGGAGUGCGGUAAAGAGCCGCAAUUCAAAUGCUACAUGUGCUCAUACAAAGCAAAACAGAAAGCUCACUUGUUGACGCAUAUGAAGUACAGGCAUAAAACUGAUAAUAAUAUGAUCAAAAUAGAAUAUUUUUAUUAACAUAUUAUUAUAUUCCACAUUUUGAAGUUAUCUAUUAUACAGGAAAGAGUGCUCCAAUAUUUUAUUUUUAAUAGGAUUAGGAAAUAAACUAUAAUUUAGUUACUUGUCAUCAUUACUGUAUUUUUAAAAUAUAUCUACUGAUUUUCCAGUUAUAUGUGUAGAUAGUGUUAACAUUUAUGAACUAGACUAAUGGUAAUAAUAUAUAAUAUGUGUAUUAUGUAUAUUAUAUAUACAAUGAUAUAUAACUAUUAUAUUUUUUUUUUUUCAUAUAUUAUUAUUAAAGGGCUGUGUUUUGUAUAUUUGUAAACUAGGUGUUUCAAUUGUUUUUACUUUAAUUUUAACAGUAUUAUAUAUAUAUAUAUAUUUACUUUAAAUUAAACAUUAAACAAUACCUACAUUUAACGUAAAAUGUUUUAAACAAUUAUUAUCAUUUUAUAAAAGAUUAAAUAUUUUAUACAAUAAUAAUAUUAAAUAUUGUUAAUUAUCUGUAUGUUUUGAAAUGUCAAUUUAAUAAUUCUAUUAUUAUGGUACUUUUUGAUUAAAUGUUAUUAUUUUCAUAUUAAUUGUCCAUUUAUUUUAAAAUAGUAAUAAUGUGUACUACCUAUAAGUAUGAUCUCAAUAUUAUUCGGAGAAAAAUCACGUGCAAUUUAUUUGCUAUUAGUUUUUAAUAGAUAUAACCUACAUUUGUUUCUGAUGUUCUGCAUUUGUUUUUACUUAUAACGAAACCAUGAAAGGUAGUUAUAAAUACCAUAACGUAGUAAUUAACAAUUCAAAAAGUUAACACAGGAGAAAGCCUAUUCACACCUUACGAAUUUUAAUUAGAUCUAAGACUUUCAUUGGAAAAUUUCAACCUGUGAUAAAUAUUAAGUAGAACCAGUCAACAUUUUCAAUAUCAUUCUAUAUUAUCUAUUAUCUAUAACUUCCUGUUAUAUUAACUAAUUUUUUUGUAAAAAGAAAAACACCGUUUUUCACAUUAUCUAUAUAUUUGAUAAUUAACAUGUCAUUAACAUAUAUAAUUAUUAUUCAAAUCACACUUGACAAUUUGCGACAUGUUGAAUAAUAAUUUUGUCACACAAUACCUUUUUGUUUUACCUAUUUGAACUGAGAUAAACCUUAUCUUAAAUAAACAUUAUCAAGUCUUAUCCUCACUAGUUAAAUAGGGAGUGUACUUUUCAUUAAAUUCAUUCAGUUUAAUUAUUUUUACUUAUAUAGUAAAAUCCAAAAUGUCAUUUUCAUUUAAACUAGAAUUAGAUUUACGCAAAUUAACAUUUUAUGUGUUUAUUGUUUUUAUAUUGGUCUAUCAUUAUUUCAUCGUGAAAUUUGUGUCCGAAGUAUGAUAGUGCUGUAAGUCAUGAACAAACCUAAAAUAACUAAUAUUAAUGUUGCGCUUGGAUUGGUUUAACAAAUCUUCUCCUACUGUCUUCUAUUAUACUUACUUAUAAUAUACAUACCUAUAUUAUAUAGUUCUUAAUAUUUAAAGAAUGUUCUAUUAGGCUAUUGGCUUUUUAUAAAAAAUAUAUCAUUGCUGUUAGAAUGUUUAACGCCACGCCAAAAUACUCAUAUAUUAACACAUACUAGUAAUUAGCAUCAUGUUAAAAAAAAAAAAUUAAUUGUUUUAUAUGUAAGUUAAUGUUUCUGGUGUCAGUUAAUUUAUAAACAUUUAGGUACUUAAAUUUAUCUCUCUUAAAUGUAAGACUUACUUGGAUAUUUAUUCUGUCAUUCUAUAGACUCCAAAUGGUUGAGAAAUAUCAAAAAUUUAACUACCUACACUGAAUUUGAUUGAAAAUAUAAUUAUUAAUCUAAAUGUAUUUUAUAUAAAUAUAAACAUAUAAAAAUGUCGAUUCUCGGUGAAUUUCAAUCAAGAGAAGUCCUUAGGAGAUAUUUUAUAUUAAAAAUUUAAUGACAUCGGAAGCUCUAUUUCCCUCCUUUUGAAUUAUUGUCUAAAUUUUUCUGUCAUGUUUGUUGUCGGAUCCUUUGCAGAAAUAAUAAAAAGAUGGCAGGAUGGCGGUGAAAACUGGGACGGAUAUCCUACUUCACAACGAUCCCUUGUGCCGCUUUUCAAUUCAUUUGGCCCAAAUAACCCAAUGUCUGCCAUCAAUUUCAAAUUCACUAACUACUACAACAACUGUAAGUUCGAUCCAACUUCGACUAAUGACACGCUACAAAUCAGUAAUGCAAGUUCUCCGAGCACCAGUGGUGGAGUCGAAUGUCCACGUUGUGGAAGACAUUAUAAACUAAAAAGCUCAUUACGCAAUCAUCAAAAAUGGGAAUGUGGAAAAGACCCUCAAUUUCAAUGCCCGUUUUGCAAUUACAGAGCUAAACAAAAAAUGCACGUUGCUCGACAUAUUGAACGUAUGCAUAGGGAAAAAUGCUCAGAAGAAUAUCAAAAUUUAACUGGACAAACUGCAACAACUGCUACAACGGCAGCGGUUGUUGGGGAUUUAAACUCAUAAGUACAAAAUAUAUAAUCAAACUAAAGUGCCGUAAUGUUCACAUAUGACUGGUCAUAUAUUUAUACUGGCCUAUAUAUCAAGUCCAUGUAAAUCAAAAUGGUUUUUUUUUUAUUACGAUUUAUUCGAUUAUUUAUUAAGCAUUUUAUAAUUUUUUUUUUUUUUUUUAGACUUAGUUGUUAAGUUGUUAAAAGUGCCAAUGAGUAUGCAAUUUUUUACAUUGUGUACAUAAAUUAUUUAUUGUGUAGUUAUAAAUUAAGUUAGGCGUAUGACAUGUGGCGAUUUUAAUUAGUCCAAUUGACUUCAAUAAGUAAUAAUUAUUAUAAUCAUUUUACUUUUGAUUUAGACUUGCUAUCUCAUUCCCAAAUUAUAUUUUGAUAUUAAGCGACUUUACGCCCAACUCGUGUGUAUAAAGCAUGUUUACGUAAACAUCAAUAAACACAAUCCCUAGAUUAUAAUAUAUUUUAUAUAAUAAUUUCAACAUUUUUGAGAAACUUAAAACACGUAUUUCUACUUUGACCCUUCUUGGUUGUAAUUUAUAAUUUUAAAAUUAUUUAAUAAUAGUACUCCAACUGUGAUAUAAUCAUUUGUUUGUUGGCCUAGUCGAUAUAUGUUAACUUGUUGGAUUGUUAAAAUCGCCAUUAUUUUGAUGUACAUACUAUUUAUUUUGAAAUAAGUCAUGUAUUACAACGAAUCAUUAUUAUGUUAUCCUAAUUAGUGUACUCAUAACUUAUCAUAAUAUCUCCAUUAAAUUUAUUAAGAAUAUUCUACAACAAAAAUAAUGUCCACCAUAAUAUGCAUACAGGUGUGUUGAACAUGCUUGUAUAAUAUUAGUUGGGAUAUAAUUUAUACCAAAAAUAUGAAACUGAAAUCAAUUUAUAAUCAAAACAAUUUGUAUUGACCAAUCAAAUUAUUAUUUUUUUAACCAAUUUUAAAAAGUCUGAUAUUAAGAAUAUUUAAAAUAUAUUGUUAUAUUAAUCAAUAUUAACUGCUCGAGGGCAGAAACCAUGUGAUAAUGUGCCUUUUGGUCUGUACUCUGUUUUAUACGCAUUUAUUUUUUUUCGAGUAUCUUUUCGUUUAGAUCAACAUGGAUAACAAAAAUGUAUUUUUAAUACACUAUAAUUAUCUAAAUUAUCCCCAUAAAAAGUGCCAUUCGAAAAAAAUAUUAUUUUUAAUAUUUUUGCCUUAUUUUUUUUUCAUUUUUUUUUUUUUUUGCCAUAUUACCUAUAUCAAAAAUUAUAUAUAUUUUUUUAAUGGACAAAUUUUUAUUACAAACUUAUAACUUGUACUAUUGUUAAUGUAAACGGAUUAAUUAAUGUUUAUAUGUUGAUACAAAUUUAAAAUCUUGUCGAUGCACAUACAAUCAAAUAUUCAUUAUGUGUCAUACUAAUUUGUUAAUAAGUAUUAUUUAUUAAGUUAAACAACACUAUGUUUUCUUUUCUUUUUAUCAUUAUUAUUAUUAUUAUUAUUAUUAUUAUUAUUAUUAUUAUUAUUAUUAUUAUUAUUAUUAUUAUUUAAAUCUAUAUUUAUUUCAAUCAUUAUUAUCCUCAUUAGGUUUUAUAAUUUCAUUUUGUUUCGUAUUAUUAAUUCUUUUAAUUGUUUCUCUUUAAGCCCUAUGUUUAUCAUGUAAUAUUUACUUUAAUUAAUAAUUAUCACAUGAGUAUUUAUGUUUUUACAUUCAUUGCUUUUUAUUGUAAUAUUUUUAUUAAAACAAACAACAAACAAAAAAUAUGAAAUUUUUUUAACAAAAUCUAAGUUUUAUUUAUUUGUUUUCUUUAAGGAGUGUGUUAUUAUUAACAUUGUAUUGCAUAUUUAAUGGAAACUAUAGUGUUAUAUUCUUUGGCCGUGGAAAAAGAAAUGUGGUGUAACGAUCAUUCAUUGUUGCUUGCUAUGGGGUGUUUAAAAAAAAAAAAAUUAGUUUUAUCUUGUCGUGUCCCAUAUGGGUUCAUGUUUUUUUUUUUUAUAUUAUCAUAUUUUUGUAAGUGUCAAUAUACUAACUUGGGAUCAGUAUAAUAUUAUAUAUUUAAAUUUCAUGUUUGCUUUGGAUUUUAUACAAACAUGCGCUUAGGUAACGGUGUUUAGUACACUGUGUGGUGUCAUCAAGUAAGUAUUAACUUUAUUUUAUUAUCCGUGAAAUAUUAAUAAAUACAUUUCAAAUACAUACAUACAUAUUAUAUAUUUUAAUAACUUAGCGGGAUGUACGCGCAUGCUUUCUGUGGUCGCUCCUAAUAAUUGGGAAGCUCAAAAAAAAAAAAAAAAAAAAAAUGUUUAAAAUGCGAGAUUUAUAUUCGAGUUGUGCCUGCACCGGAUCUCGAAUUUUAUAUAUUAUAAUAUUUUUGGACUAACCGAAUGGGGCGCGCGCGUCGUGAUACAUACACAGAUGCCUAAUAAAAAUGUUUACGUAUAUACGUUUGCGCGCGUAGUAGUAAGGCAAAACGACAGACAUUUUUCACUCGUAAACGCGAAAUAAAAAUAAGCGUUUUUUUUUUUUUUUUUUUUCUCAUCGACGCCUAUAUACGUAUAAUAUAUUAUUAUGUGUGUGUGUGUGCGGUCCGCGCGUGCGCGCGCGCGUGUGUGUGUGUGUGUGUGUAUGCGAUGCAGUACUUAUAGGUAUAUACAUUUAUUAUAAAUUUAUAUAGCUAUAACUAUAUAUUAUAAUUAUAGUCGUAUUUUAGUACUGAUCUCGGGCGCAGCGGUAGUUAGGGGCGGCGUGUGAUAUUUUGCGAAAUUUUUUUUUUCUUUUUUUUUUCCUACAGACUUCAUGUUCGCCAUCACCGGCGCGACCGUCGACACGUCGACGUCGGUCCGUUACGAAUGUCCGAAAUGUAGCCGCACGUACAAAUGGCGGAGCUCGCUGAAGAGUCACCUGCAAAACGAAUGCGGCAAAGAACCCCGGUGUCUGUGUCCGCAUUGCCCGUACCGGUGUAAGGUCCGGUCGAACCUGCUGAAGCACGUGCGCAACUAUCACAAACCGCCGCCGCUGUCUUCGUUGUCGUCUUCCCUGGCGGCGGCGGUCGCGCACAACAAUAACGGCUCGUCGACAGGUGGCGGCGGCGGCGGCGCGCGGACGAGGAUCGACGAAACUCUCCCGUCGAUCGAAAUAACGCGCCAACAGUGAAAACCGAAAGAAAAUAAUUUAAUAAUAUUAUUUAUGUAUAAGAACGCUCAACAAAUCAGAAAAUAAUUAAUAAAUAUAUUAUGUACACGCACACGCACAUGUUAUAUGUUUUAGGUAUAUAUAUAUAUAUAUAUAUAUUUAUUUAUAUUAAUUUUUCCAUCGACGAUCUUUUUAGUGCCAAAUUUUUUACUAUUAAGUUUUAAGUUUGUCUGAUAUUUCAUAUUUUUAUUAUAUUACGUUACGAAUUAAUAUGUUCUUACUUUAUAUACACGCGCAUGUAUAUAAAUAUAAUUUUUUUUUAACUUUUUUUUUUAUAUAUAUAUAUAUAUAUAUUAUGUAUUUACUUAUUAUAGUUUCUACUUGUAUUUUAGUCGAAAAAUAUCGUUAUAAAUAAUACCUAUGUUACUGUACUCGACUACUUAAACGAAUAAUAUAUAUUUUUUGGGACUGAAUUUAUAUAAAUAAUGAAUAUUUAAUUAUUAGCUAUAGGUACGUGUCG
rnacentral:lncRNA from 1 species